rnacentral:lncRNA from 10 species
AUGGCACCACUGCACUCCAGCCUGGGCGACAGAGCGAGACUUCAUCUCAGGGAAAAAAAAAAAAAAAGUAAUGUUGGAGGAAAGGGAAGGGGAGGGAAAGGGAUCAGGUAGAAACUGAAAUUGCCCAAGGUCAGAGUCAUGUUUUCUAAUUUCUUCCUGACCAUGUCUGUGUGGGGAAAACUAAUUCAGACUUUUUAAGAGCUAAAGAACUUCAGUGUUUUUUUGUUUGUUUGUUUUUUGUUUUUGUUUGUUUGUUUGAGACAGAGUCUCACUCUGUUGCCGAGGCUGGAGUGCAGUGGCGGGAUCUCAGCUCACUGCAACCUCCGUCUCCCAGGUUGAAGCAGUUCUCUCCUGCAUCAGCCUCCUGAGUAGCUGGGAUUACAGGCGCGUGCCAUGACGCCCGGCUAAUUUUUGUGUUUUUAGUAGAGACAGGGUUUCACCAUGUUGGUCCGGCUGGUCUCUAACUCUUCACCUUGUGAUUCGCCCACCUCAGCCUCCCAAAGUGCUGGGAUUUGGCUUGUUUUUUUAUUUUUUAUUUUUAAAGAAACUUCUGGUGGGGUGUGAUGGCUCACACCUGUAAUCCCAGCACUUUGGGAGGCUGAGGUGGACAGAACUCUUGAGGUCAGGAGUGAGACCAGCCUGGCCAACAUGGUGAAACCCUGUCUCUACUAAAAAUAAAAAAAGUUAGCUGGGCAUGGUGCUGUGUGCCUGUAAUCCCAGCUACUUGGGAGGUUGAAGUUGGAGAAUCUCUGGAACCCGGGAGGCGGAGGUUGCAGUGAGCUGAGAUCAUACCACUGCACUCCAGCUUGGGAGACAGAGCGAGAUUCUGUCUCAGAAAGAAGUAAGUUCUACGUAGCAUUUUUGUCUUGUUACAUUAAAAAAUAAUUCAGUAGAACUGACUUAUUAUCUGACAGGGAGAUCCGAGCUAUGGGAUUUUUUAGAAUUAUAGUCAGAGGUCGGAUAAAUCCAUUAUCUCUGACAUUCUGCAGGUAAAUAAGCUAGAACCUAGAGAGGCUGACCAUGUGAGUCAGAUUAUCUGGUUCUGUAUCUCUGCAUUUCCUUCCAGUGAGUCAUCCCUGAGCUCAUUUAAUUGGUCCAGCCCAGUGUCUGCUUGUCAGUUAAUUAAGAGAAGCUUCAAGGGCCCAAGCAUAUCUUAAAGAGCCAGCGGUGGCCACCAGACCAGUGUGGGCGGUCAUCAAGGGUCAGGUUCCUUUGGGGCCGCUGGCAUUGGGGAUUGGGAUUGGGUUGAUCAUGGGUCAACCAGCCCUUUAGGGAUGAAAAGGAGGCAGGGUCUCAAGGGGACAAUGCCUGCCAGCAGCCGGCUGUGUGGGGGCUGCAACUCCCAUCAGGCUUUGAUGUGUUUCUUUUUUCUCUUUUUCUUUCUCUCUUUUUUUUUUGAGACAGAGUCUUGCUCUGUUGCCCUUCCCAGGCUGGAGUGCACCAUCACACCCGGAUAAUUUUUUUAUUUUUAGUAGAGAUGGGGUUUCACCAUGUUGGCCAGGCUGGUCUCGAACUCCUGACCUAAAGUGAUCUGCCCACCUCAGCCUCCUAAAGUGCUGGAAUUACAGGUGUGAGCCACCGCACCCAGCCUGAUGUGUUUCUUGAUGUUUCUUUGUAUUCUUCUGGAAGUCCCUCUGAUGUUUAGCAAAGUCUUUGUAAUAUUUCAGCCAGCAUCAGCUCUACUGUGAGUUUUAAUGAGGCGUCAGAACAACCCUGGAAGUCAAUAGAUGGCAACAGCAGAGAGUAAAGUGAGAACUCCAUGGGGGAGAAGAAACCCUCAGGAGAGGCAGGAGCUCUGGCAUCAACCAUCUCUCUGCCCAGAAUCUCCUUCCAAGUUGAAGCUUCAGGAGUUUGGGUUCUUCCAGGGUACAUUAUUGGUCCGAUAAGAUUGGAAAACACUGAACUAAAUAAAGUUAAACAGGUUUCUUCAUUACAAACUCUUCUAACAUCCUUAAUCUACUGAUAUACCUUAUGAAUCUUCAAGAGAAGACAGUUGCAUUGCCAGCAGAGUUUCUCGAACUAUUUAAUUAUGAAGAAAGUGUUUGUUGGCUUUGGUGCUCCAAGAAACACUCUUUGGGCCACAUCAUUAUGAAGAGUCAUUAUAGAUCCCACCUCUUGUGUGAUUGAUGGGCCUAUUCCUCGAAGUAGUUAACAAAGAGACUAAAAUGUAAUCCCUUUCCACAAGGAGCUCAGCCCAUAAAUAUCUACUAAAUGUAUGUCUUCUUACUGAGUGCCAGAAACUGAGCAAACUGAUUAUUACAUGGAUUAUUUCAUAUUCUUCUCAAAUCCUCACAGCAGCGCUGUCAGGUAGGUGUGAUUAUUACACCCCUUUUACAGAGGAGAAUGAGGCUCAUGAGUUUAGAUAAUUUAGGAUUACAUAAGUAGUAACUGGCAAAUGGCCCAACUCCCAUUCUUAUACAUGGUGCCUCCCCAAGGGGGACACUUCUCAGGAACUAAACACAGUCCAGCAUAAGAUGCCUUUUAAGUAUGGUUGCUCUUCCCCAGGGUCGGUUAUUUAUUUAGUAACAUUGGUUCCAGGGACCCUCCAUGUUGAUUAUUCCUUAAUGUUCUCAGGAGCAGGGACUGACUCAUUCACCUUUCCAUUAUCAGUAGGGACUCAAUAGAUAUUUCUUGAAUGAAUAAAAGUAAAUAAAUAAAUGAAGACACUGAUUUUUAACUGGUCCUGGUGAUAAAUAAUUUCUAACAGAGGCAUUGCCCAGAUCCUUUCAACUAGUCCAUAACAUUUCUUGAGCUCCUAUGAUAUGCCAAGGACUGGAUUCAGUAGUCACCAAAGCUUGUUGAGUUGCUGUUUCCCUUUCUGAACCUCUAAUAGUCUACAUCACAUGAACACAUGUUUUCGAAGGCAGACCUUCUUCAGACAAUACAUGGACAGCCUUAGGCAUAAAUCCCUUUCCUGUAUGAAUUCCUCUAUAGUAAAAAUCAUAUUGAUUGCUUAGGGAGGGGGAUACUGAGUUAGUGGUUAAGGGUGUGAAGGAUAACUCCUCAAAUUAAAGAACUGCACGAACCCUUAACACUCAAAGGCUGGGAAGCAUAGAAGGUAUUUAAUAAGUGCUUGUUGAAUGAAUGAUGCAGACAUGCAUGAGGCAAGAAUGAGGCAAGCUCUGGGCGCCAAAGACAGAGAGGGAGCAGCCACCUUUUUCUUAGUAGCUUGUUGAGGAAACUGCUUGCUGGCCCCUGCCCAAGCCCAUGGUGUGGCCAUUGUGCAUUCUGCAGGGCACAUAGUCUGAUAUGUGGGGUGCUCACAGUAGAAGCCACCUCACACCAAGAGACUCUGCGUGGGCCUUUCCCCUGAGAGAUAACUUGAAUGCGAUGGUAAAAUAGAAGCCAGGGGUUUAAGACCAAUCUCUGCAGUUUAUUAGCCCCUGGAUAAGUUACCUAACCAUUCUGAGCCUCAGUUUGCUCAACUGAGAAAUGAAGAUCGUAAUUUUUAAUUUAGAAUUCUUCUUAUUUUUUUAGGUCCUUCCAGAUUGCAAAGAAGAGAGGCACACAAAUGGUUGCUCAGAUGAGCAGUCAUCAACACAGAAGACUUCUGUGACCACAUGUGAGAAGUGUUUCUUUCCACUGCCAAGCAAGCAAUCAAGUCUGCGGUGGAUACCCACUGGGUGGCCUCCAAUUCAACUCCAACACUAUCUACCUGGAGAUAGCAUCAGAUCCCACAGGUUGAGGGCUCUGUCCCCAAGGCUGGCCCCCACCGCUGCUGGACACCAGCUGAUUAUAAAGUAUAUUACAGAUGAAGAGAUGCAUAGGGUG